GGUUAGUUCUAAACGUACAUUCUGGGAGUAAGCCGUCAUUCAAGAAGACGGAAAAGAAGCAAUUCUGGGACGAAGUGAGCUGACCGAAUUCCUAUCCAGGAGAAGCUGCCAGAUGCCGUAGACAACAGGAGUCAGAACAUCAUAGUACUUCCAACAGCAGAAGACACCAGGAGUGGGGAAGGUUCUGGAUGCUUAUGUCUGAUGUGGUGACCAUAGACCUCCAUUAUAUGACUGGCAGAAUGAUG